rnacentral:rRNA from 1 species
UACAGAGGGGGCAAGCGUUAUUCGGAAUUAUUGGGCGUAAAGGGCGCGUAGGCGGCUUUGCAAGUGAGGGGUGAAAGCCCUCGGCUUAACCGUGGAACUGCCUGUGAGACUGGGAGGCUUGAGACCGGGAGAGGUGAGUGGAAUUCCCGGUGUAGCGGUGAAAUGCGUAGAUAUCGGGAGGAAUACCAGUGGCGAAGGCGGUUCUCUGGGCCUAAACUGACGCUGAGGCGCGAAAGCGUGGGGAGCAAACAGG